CCUCCCUCUUCGUCACCCUCUCACCCGGCCGGACCAGCGGCCGCCGUUUCCGCCUCCUCCUCCCCCGAUUCGCACACGAUGGAGCUGCAGCAGAUCAAGAAGGUGGUGGGUGGAGCCGUGACUGCGGCGACGGUUGGCACCCAGGUCUACCAGAUCUACCAGAAAGGAAUGAAGCUAAUGGGGCCAAACCAAUGCCCGUGGUGCUACAAGAACAUCCCGCGGGACCUCUUCGAAGCUCAUCUGUUGCAGCACAAAGGGGACCAUGAUGUCUGCGAGGUGAAAAGGGCUGUUGCGGAAGGGACGCGGGCAGGAAAGGAAGCUGCCAAGGCGUACAAGAAGCAGGAGCAGGAGGCACGGCAGCAGGCGAAGCGAGCGCGGGAGCAGGGACGGAGGUCAGGGACACGCCACAGGGAAUGAAGGAAUUGUUCGAGCAGAGUUCAGAGGGUAGAGGGAAGCUGGAGCAGCUGUGAUUUUGUCGUUAUCAGUUGAACUGCAUUAAGUACUACCUUUUAUUUGUGCCCUGAUGGUAGCUUAUAGCUGCUGGUAACAUCCUAAAUUUGAGAGUACUAUAUCCAUAUCGCGUACUAAUCUAAUGGUGUUCUCUACCUGAUAUUCGCCUUGGUGGCCAGAGAGGCACGGUCCGUGGAUUCAAAUAUAUUAAGUUAAAAGCUGGCACUUCUGAAAA